rnacentral:rRNA from 1 species
UACAGAGGUCUCAAGCGUUGUUCGGAUUCAUUGGGCGUAAAGGGUGCGUAGGUGGCGCGCUAAGUCAGGUGUGAAAUCUCGGGGCUUAACUCCGAAACUGCAUUUGAUACUGGCGUGCUUGAGGACUGGAGAGGAGACUGGAAUUUACGGUGUAGCAGUGAAAUGCGUAGAGAUCGUAAGGAAGACCAGUGGCGAAGGCGGGUCUCUGGACAGCACCUGACACUGAGGCACGAAAGCCGGGGGAGCAAACAGG